UUUUUCUUUAAAGUAAUAAAAACAUUAAAACCCAUUUAGGGUUAUAUUGGAAAACAUACGGCCGCCAAAUACACGAACAGCAGCAGCGAACAGCAGCAUCUCCGCAGCAAACAAGCCUCCGCCCUCCGCCCUCCUCCGCCUCCGGCUGCUCCGCCGCCUCCGGCUCCUGCUGCUCCACCGCCUCCGCCUCCGUCACUCCGUGAUUACAGAUUUACAAACAGUUCGAUUAAGUGGUGGAUACAUGAACGAUUCUUGCAUUUGUUACAUUGAAAAGGAGUUCUUACAACAAGUUUCCGUUGAGAGUGUAAUGCAACGUUUUCAAAAGAUGAAAACUCGUCGUCAACAACUUUAGGUAGUUUUUUUAUUUGUAAAGACUAUCGUAUUUUAUAUUGUGUUUUUAAAUUUCUAAUGACGAUUUUCUUUUCAUCAUUGUAUCGUACUUUUAUUAUGUGAUGAACCUUACCCGAUCCGAACCA